AGCUCCAAUAGCGUAUAUUAAAGUUGCUGCAGUUAAAAAGCUCGUAGUUGGAUCUCGGGGUACCUGGUCUAGCCGGUAUAGCUCACGCUAAAACUGGUCUGACCCCCCACCUGCGGGAUUCGUGUCCCGGUGCACUUCAUUGGGGGGCCGUGAGGGGGCCUGUAGUUACUGUGAAAAAAUUAGAGUGUUCAAAGGCAGGCUCAUAUGUUCGGAUAGUCGUGCAUGGAAUAACUGAAUACGUGACUGGCGCUUUUCAGUUGGUCUCGGCGACUGGUCAAAUGAUUAAGAGGGACUGCCGGGGGCAUUGGUAUGGCGGGGUUAGAGGUGAAAUUCUUGGAUCCUCGCCAGACCAACAAAAGCGAAAGCAUUUGCCAAGAAUGUCUUCA
rnacentral:rRNA from 1 species